rnacentral:rRNA from 1 species
AGUCUGGUGCCAGCAGCCGCGGUAAUUCCAGCUCCAAUAGCGUAUAUUAAAGUUGUUGCAGUUAAAAAGCUCGUAGUUGGAUCUCAGGAUUUGGAUGGAUGGUUCGCUUUCGGGCGCUACUAUCUGUCUGACCUACUCUAGUCGUGGAUGCCUUGGGUGCUCUUAAUUGAGUGCUUUUGGUGCCCGACGCAAUUACUUUGAAAAAAUUAGAGCGCUCAAAGCAGGCGUAUUGCCUGAAUAGUGUUGCAUGGAAUAAUGAAAUAGGGGUUUACUUCUAUUUUGUUGGUUUUCGGAGGUGAACUAAUGAUUAACAGGGACAGACGGGGGCAUUUGUAUGGAGGGGUUAGAGGUGAAAUUCUUGGAUCCUCUCCAGACAAACUACUGCGAAAGCAUUUGCCAGGAAUGUUUUCACUAAUCAAGAACGAAAGUCAGAGGUUCGAAGACGAUCAGAUACCGUCCUAGUUCUGACCAUAAAUGAUGCCAUCUAACAAUCCACGAAGUUUGCUUGUACGAACUCGUGGGCGGUCCCCGGGAAACCAAAGAUUUUGGGUUCCGGGGGAAGUAUGGUUGCAAAGCUGAAACUUAAAGGAAUUGACGGAAGGGCACCACCAGGAGUGGAGCCUGCGGCUUAAUUUGACCCAACACGGGAAACCUCACCCGGCCCGGACACUUUUAGGAUUGACAGAUUGAAGGCUCUUUCUUGAUCAAGUGGUUGGUGGUGCAUGGCCGUUCUUAGUUGGUGGAGCGAUUUGUCUGGUUAAUUCCGAUAACGAACGAGACUCUACUCUGCUAAAUAGAGCGUUGAUAUAUAAAAGUCAGUGCUGACUUCUUAGAGAGACUAACGGCGUUUAGCCGUGUGAGAAAGAGCAAUAACAGGUCUGUGAUGCCCUUAGAUGUCCGGGGCCGCACGCGCGCUACACUGACUGCAGCAACUAGUAUGCUCCUGGUUUGAAAAAACUGGGUAACCUGGUUGAAUUGCAGGCGUGACAGGGAUCAGAGUUUGCAAUUAUCCUCUGUGAACGAGGAAUUCCCAGUAAGCGCAAGUCAUUAGCUUGUGCUGAUUACGUCCCUGCCCUUUGUACACACCGCCCGUCGCUACUACCGAUUGAAUGGUUUAGUGAGGUCUUCGGAUUGGUGCUGAUGGAGUGGUUCUCUGCUCUGUUAGUGCCGAGAAGAUGAUCAAACUUGAUCAUUUAGAGGAAGUAAAAGUCGUAACAAGGU